AUUGCACGCUGGCGGCAGGCUUAACACAUGCACGUCGAACGAGUGGCGGACGGGUGAGUAAUGCUUGGGAUUCUAGCUUAUGGAGGGGGAUAACUCCGGGAAACUGUAGCUAAUACCGCGUACCAUAGGAUGCGCCCAAGUGGGAUUAGGUAGUUGGUGAGGUACAGGCUCACCAAGCCGACGCUCUCUAGCUGGUCUGAGAGGAUGACCAGGCACACGGGGACUGAGGCACGGCGCAGACUCCUGCGGGAGGCAGCAGGGGGGAAUAGGGCGUAAGGGGGACAGCCGGACGCAGCCAGGCCGCGUGAAGGAAGAGGGCCGUCGGGUGGGAAAGUGCUUUCGGUAGCGGGGCGUUGACUACAGAAGAAGCACCGGCUAACGCCGUGCGAGCAGCCGCGGUAAUAC
rnacentral:rRNA from 1 species